AAUAAAUAUAUAAAUAUUUAAUUAACAUUAUAUAUGAGAAAGAAACAUCUUUAAAAUAAGUUAAGGAGAUUAAAAGUUAUUUUAUAAAUAUUUUAGAUAAGUACUGUGAAGGAAUUUUUAUGAUUUAAUAAUUAGGAAAGUUUAAUCUUUGUACCUUUUGUAUCAUGGUUUAGUUAGAAGUUAUUUUUUAUAAAAUUUCUCGAAGCCUAAUGGGCUAUUUUUAUUUACUUUAUAGACUAAAAACAACUAGUUGUGGCAAAAAUUUGGUUAAAAAUAAAAAUAGAAAUGAUAUUUUAUUCGUAUUAGGUGAUAGCUAGUUCUUUCGAAAAAGCAUAGAAGUGCUAAAAAUUAGUGUAUGUUUUUAAAUAUUAUAAUUAUUUAAAAACUUUCUGACUUUGGUAGAUCUUUGAGGAUAAGCUCGAAGAAGAUUAAUAAAUUAAUAUAUAAUUUUGAUUAAAAUUUAGGCUUGAAAAUAGCCAUUAUUGUGAUUUUGUUAUAAUUUCAUUAAGUUAAAAGAAGAAGAAUUUAUGUAUUAUGAUUAAUAAGAAAGAAAAUUUUUUAAUAAAAAAAAGUUGUGUUUAUGCUAAAAUGAGUAUUACGUUAUAUUAUUUAUUUUAAUAAUUAUUAAUUUUUAAAAUAUAAAUAUUAUUUAUUUGUUAAAAUUAUGUAAAGGAACUCGGCAAAUUUAUAUUCUGCCUGUUUAUCAAAAACAUGGCUCUUUGAAAACAAUUGAUAAGGAGUCGGACCUGCCCAGUGAAAAGUUUUAACGGCCGCGGUCCUCUGCCCGUGCAAAGGUAGCAUAAUCAUUUGCCUUAUAAUUGAAGGCUUGUAUGAAUGGUUUGACAAGAAUAUAGCUGUCUCUAUAUAAUUUUAUAGAAUUUUAUCUUGAAGUGAAGAAGCUUGAAUAAUAUUGAUAGACAAGAAGACCCUAUCGAGCUUGAAAAAAGAUAGUAGAGGUAUAUAAAAUAGAAUUAAAAAAUUGUCUAUUAUAAAUUUUGGUUGGGGCGACUUAGGAACAUAAAAAGCUUCCUAAAUUUUUAUAUAAAAACAAAGUGAUCCAAAAUAUUUUGAUUAAGGAAAUUAGUUACCGUAGGGAUAACAGCAUUAUCUUCUUUGAGAGUUCAUAUCGAAAAGAGGGUUUGUGACCUCGAUGUUGGACCAGAAUAUCCUAAAGAUGUAGCAGUCUUUAAGGGUUGGUCUGUUCGACCAUUAAAAUUCUACGUGAUCUGAGUUCAGACCGGCGUGAGCCAGGUCAGUUUCUAUCUUCAAUUUUAAUUAUAGACUUAGUACGAAAGGACCAGUUUAUUACAAUUUAUUGUAUUUAAAGGUAAUAUUUAAUGUUAUAAUAA
rnacentral:rRNA from 1 species